rnacentral:rRNA from 1 species
GACUAACGCUGGCGGCGUGCCUAAUACAUGCAAGUCGAACGGGAUUCUUUGAUCAGCUUGCUGAGAGAAGGAUCUAGUGGCGGACGGGUGAGUAACGCGUGGGAAUCUGCCUCUUACUGGGGGAUAACAGUGGGAAACUACUGCUAAUACCGCAUAAGAUCUUCGGACGAAAGGUGCAACUGCACCGGUAAGAGAUGAGCCCGCGUCCCAUUAGCUAGUUGGUGAGGUAAAGGCUCACCAAGGCGACGAUGGGUAGCCGGCCUGAGAGGGUGAACGGCCACACUGGGACUGAGACACGGCCCAGACUCCUACGGGAGGCAGCAGUAGGGAAUCUUCCGCAAUGGGCGCAAGCCUGACGGAGCGACGCCGCGUGAGUGAUGAAGGCCUUCGGGUCGGUAAAGCGUCUGUUCUUCGUAGGACGAAUAAGCCAAGGGAGUGGAAGACCUCGGUGAUGACUGUACUCAACGGAGAAAGCUCCGGCUAACGUAACGUGCC